rnacentral:lncRNA from 1 species
AAAACAUAUGCAAUACAAGUAUAUACAAAAAAAAAUACAAAUAAAAUAAAAACAAUACAUGUAGAACGUGGUGUAACUUAGACAUAGUUCUUUGGAACAGAUGUGAAACUUCAGAGGUACCUAGAAAUUUUCUGAUAGAGAGAACUACAAAAAAAGGGAAAUCAUACCACUAAAUAUACCCCUCAAACAACCGUAACCUGGCUUUGCUAAUUAGAUAGACAAAAGUUAGCCAAGAGUCUCCUGCCAUCAACAAAAAACUUGGGUGGAAUUUUGAAUCACGUGUGUUCACACCUAAGAGGUAAGGUGCUACAAAUGCUGUCAUUGAUUUAAAUCUUCUACAUGAUUGCUAGUAUAUGUAAAUCUGAGAAGCUCACUGAAUUCACCGAUGUUUCUUCAUGAGCACACACAAUUUUCCUGGGUACACAGAAUUUAUAUACAAGGACAAAGCUCCUCACAGUCAGCUUUUAAGCCUCCUCUAAGUUCCAUAAAAUUUUCCAGGCUUUUUUUUUUUUUUUUUUUUUUUUUCACAAACUGUGUCACCAAUUUUUGUUGCGUCUUCCUCUAUUUUUUCUGUUGGUGAUGAUGGCAAUCCACCAUUAUGCAGUAUCUCACAGGCACAGCUAGCCUCCUUGACUCUAACAAAGGACUGGAAGUUUCUUGGAAGACAGUGAAUCAAGCGAUCAGUGUAAAUGAACCCAAACUUCAAUGGGAAGUUGAGAAGGAAGAGGACAACAGGAACUCAGAAAAGCCAAACCCACAUCUCAACUUCACCAGACAAGCUGAGAUCUCUGGAUUCUUUGCCAACAGCCACAAAUUCAGCCCACUUCUCAGAGCUGCAGAGAUAAACUGGACACAUCAUCUCAUUAUUAGCAAACAGUGUCUCUCUUAUCAGACAGAUUUGGACCACUUUUCUCCCUACUUACGACCAUUGUUUCCAAGAAAGGUACGACAAGGCAGCAUACGGUGCUCUUAUGGGCAAGUUCAAGGAAGGAGCUCAUUCAUGACAGCAACCUGGGAACACAGGAACACUUCCAUGAGAAGCUAACUGGUAAGUGGGGAUAACAGAGAGGACAAGCAUUCUCGAAAAGCAACCUUCUUCCCAUUUCUAGCCAUUUGACCAUGACAUCCACCCCUCUACCAUUUAUGAUAAACAGCCUCCCUUGUGACUGAAGCAUCUGCCUAAACUAUUUUAAGAUGCCAAUAUCUACCCAGUCACAGAUAGCAUUAAGCCCAGCUAUUGUAGAGAACAGCAGAAAACAUUUUAACAUUAAUGUCUCAUAUUUACAAGGUUUAUAUCCAAUAUAUAUAAUAUAUGCCACAGACCUACAGCUAACUUUGCAUAUACACAUAAGACCAAAAAUAAAAUACAUAUGGAUGAUAUCA